rnacentral:rRNA from 1 species
UACAGAGGGGGCAAGCGUUGUUCGGAAUUACUGGGCGUAAAGCGCACGUAGGCGGCCUGUUAAGUCGGGUGUGAAAGCCCUGGGCUCAACCCAGGAAGUGCAUUCGAAACUGGCAGGCUUGAAUAUGGAAGAGGGUCGCGGAAUUCCCGGUGUAGAGGUGAAAUGCGUUGAUAUCGAUAAGGACUCCGGUGGCGAAGGCGGCAUACUGGACCACCACUGACGCUGAUGCGCGAAAGCCAGGGGAGCAAAGCGGG